rnacentral:rRNA from 1 species
UACGAAGGGGGCUAGCGUUGCUCGGAAUUACUGGGCGUAAAGCGCACGUAGGCGGCUUUCUAAGUCAGGGGUGAAAUCCUGGAGCUCAACUCCAGAACUGCCUUUGAUACUGGGGAUCUCGAGUCCGGAAGAGGUGAGUGGAACUCCGAGUGUAGAGGUGAAAUUCGUAGAUAUUCGGAAGAACACCAGUGGCGAAGGCGGCUCACUGGUCCGGUACUGACGCUGAGGUGCGAAAGCGUGGGGAGCAAACAGG